AUAAGGCAUUUUGGGAGCUCAUUGGCUUUGGGUUCCAUCGAAACUUCGAAGUUAAGCGAGUUCGUGUGAGAGCAAUUCCAUGAUGGGUGACCCACUGGGAAGUUCUCGUGUGAGUUCCUAGAAACAAAACCGUGAGGACGUGCUCGAGACCCAAAGCAAACAAUAUCAUGCUACGGCAGAGUCGAGCCCAAGAUGUCGUGGGGGCCCGGGCCGGGAUGUGAUAGAAUGGUAUCAGAGCUAAUCCCUGGCCGAAAGUGUGCCAACGAGGACGUCAGGCCCCUAAAGGGGGUGGAUUGUAACAUCCCACAUCGUCCGGGGAAGUAGAUCAUCUAUGCCUUAUAUGUAUAUUCUCAUUUCUACCUAGCACGAGGUCUUUUGGGAGCUCACUGGUUUGGGGUUCCAUCAGAACUUCGAAGUUAAGCGAGUUCGCGUGAGAGCAAUCCCAUGAUGUGUGACCCACUGGGAAGUUCUCAUGUGAGUUCUCA
rnacentral:sRNA from 1 species